rnacentral:rRNA from 1 species
GGCGCAAGGGUGCGUAACACGUGGGUAAUUUGCCGCGAAGAUCGGAAUAACCUGCUGAAAGGCGGGCUAAUGCCGAAUGUGCCUGCCGAGGGGAUUCCCUUGGCUUGCAAAGUUGGGGACCGCAAGGCCUGACACUUCGCGAUAAGCCCGCGGCCUAUCAGCUAGUUGGCGGGGUAACGGCCCACCAAGGCUAAGACGGGUAGCUGGUCUGAGAGGACGACCAGCCACACUGGAACUGAGACACGGUCCAGACACCUACGGGUGGCAGCAGUCGAGAAUUUUUCACAAUGGGCGAAAGCCUGAUGGAGCGACGCCGCGUGGGGGAUGAAGGGCUUCGGCUCGUAAACCCCUGUCAUUCGAGAACAAACCCUGCGACCUAAUAAGUCGCGGGCUGAUAGUAUCGGAAGAGGAAGGGACGGCUAACUCUGUGCCAGCAGCCGCGGUAAUACAGAGGUCCCAAGCGUUGUUCGGAUUUACUGGGCGUAAAGGGUGCGUA